AGUGAACGCUGGCGGUAGGCCUAACACAUGCAAGUCGAACGGCAGCACAGUAAGAGCUUGCUCUUACGGGUGGCGAGUGGCGGACGGGUGAGGAAUACAUCGGAAUCUACUUUUUCGUGGGGGAUAACGUAGGGAAACUUACGCUAAUACCGCAUACGACCUACGGGUGAAAGCAGGGGAUCUUCUGACCUUGCGCGAUUGAAUGAGCCGAUGUCGGAUUAGCUAGUUGGCGGGGUAAAGGCCCACCAAGGCGACGAUCCGUAGCUGGUCUGAGAGGAUGAUCAGCCACACUGGAACUGAGACACGGUCCAGACUCCUACGGUAGGCAGCAGUCGGGAAUAUUGGACAAUGGGCGCAAGCCUGAUCCAGCCAUACCGCGUGGGUGAAGAAGGCCUUCGGGUUGUAAAGCCCUUUUGUUGGGAAAGAAAAGCAGCAGGUUAAUACCCCGCUGUUCUGACGGUACCCAAAGAAUAAGCACCGGCUAACUUCGUG
rnacentral:rRNA from 1 species